rnacentral:rRNA from 1 species
UACGAAGGGGGCUAGCGUUGUUCGGAAUUAUUGGGCGUAAAGCGCUCGUAGGCGGGACAGGAAGUUCGUGUUGAAAGACCUCGGCUCAACUGAGGGACCGGCUCGAAUACUCUUGUUCUUGAGGCAAUCAGAGGGUGAUGGAAUUCCCGGUGUAGCGGUGAAAAUGCGUAGAUAUCGGGAGGAACACCAGUGGCGAAGGCGAUCACCUGGGGUUGUUCUGACGCUGAGGAGCGAAAGCUAGGGAGCAACGGG